GAUGAACGCUGGCGGCGUGCCUAAUACAUGCAAGUCGAGCGAACAGACGAGGAGCUUGCUCCUCUGACGUUAGCGGCGGACGGGUGAGUAACACGUGGAUAACCUACCUAUAAGACUGGGAUAACUUCGGGAAACCGGAGCUAAUACCGGAUAAUAUAUUGAACCGCAUUGUUCAAUAGUGAAAGACGGUUUUGCUGUCACUUAUAGAUGGAUCCGCGCCGCAUUAGCUAGUUGGUAAGGUAACGGCUUACCAAGGCAACGAUGCGUAGCCGACCUGAGAGGGUGGUCGGCCACACUGGAACUGAGACACGGUCCAGACUCCUACGGGAGGCAGCAGUAGGGAAUCUUCCGCAAUGGGCGAAAGCCUGACGGAGCAACGCCGCGUGAGUGAUGAAGGUCUUCGGAUCGUAAAACUCUGUUAUUAGGGAAGAACAAAUGUGUAAGUAACUAUGCACGUCUUGACGGUACCGAAUCAGAAAGCCACGGCUAACUACGUG
rnacentral:rRNA from 1 species